UACGAAGGGGGGCUAGCGUUGUUCGGAUUUACUGGGCGUAAAGCGCACGUAGGCGGAUCGUUAAGUCGGGGGUGAAAUCCUGGAGCUCAACUCCAGAACUGCCUUCGAUACUGGCGAUCUCGAGUCCGGAAGAGGUGAGUGGAACUCCUAGUGUAGAGGUGGAAUUCGUAGAUAUUAGGAAGAACACCAGUGGCGAAGGCGACUCACUGGUCCGGUACUGACGCUGAGGGUGCGAAA
rnacentral:rRNA from 1 species